CCUACGGGUGGCAGCAGUGGGGAAUAUUGGACAAUGGGGGAAACCCUGAUCCAGCCAUGCCGCGUGUGUGAAGAAGGCCCUCGGGGUGUAAAGCACUUUCAGUGAGGAAGAACGCCUGGUGGUUAAUACCCAUCAGGAAAGACAUCACUCACAGAAGAAGCACCGGCUAACUCCGUGCCAGCAGCCGCGGUAAUACGGAGGGUGCGAGCGUUAAUCGGAAUUACUGGGCGUAAAGCGCGCGUAGGUGGCUUGAUAAGCCGGUUGUGAAAGCCCCGGGCUCAACCUGGGAACGGCAUCCGGAACUGUCAAGCUAGAGUGCAGGAGAGGAAGGUAGAAUUCCCGGUGUAGCGGUGAAAUGCGUAGAGAUCGGGAGGAAUACCAGUGGCGAAGGCGGCCUUCUGGACUGACACUGACACUGAGGUGCGAAAGCGUGGGUAGCAAACAGGAUUAGAUACCCUAGUAGUC
rnacentral:rRNA from 1 species